rnacentral:rRNA from 1 species
AUUGAACGCUGGCGGCAGGCCUAACACCUGCAAGUCGAGCGCGCGGCGGACGGGUGAGUAAUGUAUGGGGACUGCCCGAUAGAGGGGGAUAACUUAUGGAAACGGUAGCUAAUACCGCAUACCCUCAGAUAACCCAUAUGGGAUUAGCUGGUGGGUAAGGUAACGGCUGACCUAGGCGACGAUCCCUAGCGGGUCUGAGAGGAUGAUCAGCCACACGGGGACUGAGACACGGCCCAGACUCCUACGGAGGCAGCAGUGGGGAAUAUUGCACAAUGGGCGCAAGCCUGAUGCAGCCAUGCCGCGUGUAUGAAGAAGGCCUUAGGGUUGUAAAGUACUUUCAGCGGGGAGGCGUUACCCACAGAAGAAGCACCGGCUAACUCCGUGCCAGCAGCCGCGGUAAUAC